ensembl:lncRNA
UGGGAAAAUGGAGGCUUUCCAUCAUUGCAGCGGUUUAUGGCACCCUGGCUGAGGUGGUAGUCAUUUGUUUUUUGUGAGUUCACUGGGGAGUGAGGUAGCCUUCAGCAAUGUAUAAUGCAUAAUUAAGUCAAUAUAUCGUCACUUUGAGAUUUGGCAGAGAGAAAAAGUUGGUAUCCUUUACUGACUUCGUUAGGAGCAGUACAGAACUAUGACCCACGAGUUUAUGUUUGAAAUAUAGAAAGGUUUAUUAGUAUGUGGCUGAGGUCUUUCUUGCUAGGGAUGAGACUGAGGUUUCAGAAACUGACAUUGUCCUUUCCUCUUAGAAAAGAGAAGACUGAGAUUAUGAAGGCAGCAGUUUAAGCAUAUUUGUUGCAACAAAAGUUGUUGAAAAGUGAGUUGUUUAUGACAAGUACAUACAAAAGCAUGAAGUUGUAUCUGUUGCCUUUAUUCUGAAAUAUUUCAGAAUAGAAAAACUAUCUUGUGAAAAGUUUACAGACUACGUCUGUACUGUAUACAUGCUUGUCACCUAGCAUGUGUCCUUACGUACUAAAAGCCAUAACUAUUAAGUGGCUAGAAUGUUAAUUUCUGCAAAAUCCAGGAUUACUUCUUAUUUCUCAUCUGCCAGCACUGCUUAUUUCUGUCACUUUGUUGCUCACUGGCCAUGUUGUUAAAUGUGAAGCGGCAGAUGGAGGUACAUCGUAACAUGGUGUAUCUGAAAUCAGAGGUUAUGCCUACUAUGUGCUGUGUAGAUGGGAACCUGUGGUUGUAUUUCAUGGUUUGCCAUUAAAUUCAGUUUUAAAACAGUGGGGAAAGAUGCAAAAGCACGAACAGUUACAAGCAAAUAUUGCUGUUCCUGUUGUUUUGUAAGAUUACAUGCAUCAAGUGUUUAUUUCCACAUAGGAAGAAGCAUUUCAAGAAAAUUGUCCUGUUAGGCUGUCAGAGGAAUUGCUGUCCUAAGUAGAGUUAAAUGUCAACUGCGUUUCAAACCCCAAUCUUCACUGUUUUGUUUUGUUUAGGCAAAUAUAAAGCCACUGUCAUUCCUCCUGUCUGUGUAUCUACUGUUGUAACUCAUGUGAGAGGAAUAAACCAGCGCUCCCUAUUUCUUUAGUUAUUUAUUUAUUUGCUGUGGAUCAGAAAGGGCCAACCUGCUGUAAGUAACACUUGCAUUUUAUUUGUGCUGCUUGAUUGCUUAUAAUGGAAAAAAUGCCUAGAGGCCUAAAGUACAUUAAAGUGUUGCUUUGUUCAAAACGACACUGCAGCAUCUAGAAGAAAUAAUUGAACAAAGUUACACACUUCAGUUUUUUCCAUGUCUGAACGUCAUGCAUCAGUUCAUGAGCAGUGUCUAGAUGAAGUGAUUACAAAAUGUGAAAGGCAAGAUUAUUGCUGGACUAGCCAUUAUAAAAAUAAGGAUGAGGAGUAAUCUUUGUGCUUCUUUGUGGCAGAUGUCUAAUAGUGUUUUCUCCAGUGCAGCUGUAGUUAUUAUAGAGGGUGGCCAGCAAGAAUACUCUAUUAAUAAACUCAAAAUGAGAUUCUGUCCAUCUCAGUCGUCAGUGCCCAGAUUAUAAUCUGUUCCAUAUUGGUAAAUAUAGAAAAAUAAGCAGACAAAACCCACCCAUGUACUUCUUCCACUGUAGCUAAAAUCCUGGCUUUCUCUCAUUUGGAGGCGUACCUUUUAUGCAGGUACGGGGGGGCAAAUUAUCCAUUUUGAGUUACAAAACAUAUAUUCUCAUUCAUCUGUCUAAUGUGUGAGGCUGACUUCACAGAAUUCUUCUAUCUGUGUUUGUUAUUACUGAUAUCAGCCUAAGGAUAGACCUGCAUAUUGAUUUACACAGACCUAAUAUUAUUUUUCUUAAAUAUCUUCUGGUACUUUUCAGUGAGAUCUUCUGAGAGACCCCCGUCUCUUCAAAAUGCCAAGAGAAGGAGAUUAGACACCAGCAACAAUACAUCUGUGCAGAGUUGAUGAGUUACUUCACAUAUGGGCUAUUCAAAUAAAAAUAUGGUUGGUGAGUAAUUCACAUGUAUGCUUAUAUUUAAGUUGAUACUUGCUUAAUGUACACAACUGAUAUUUUUAGAUGAGAAGUUGCAUUAAGAAUGAAAUGUUCUGCCUCCUAGUGGUCCUAGUCUGCAAGACAUGGAAACAGUGGUC